AUUGAACGCUGGCGGAAUGCUUUACACAUGCAAGUCGAACGGCAGCACGGACUUCGGUCUGGUGGCGAGUGGCGAACGGGUGAGUAAUGUAUCGGAACGUGCCCAGUCGUGGGGGAUAACGUAGUGAAAAUUACGCUAAUACCGCAUACGAUCUAUGGAUGAAAGCUGGGGAUCGCAAGACCUCGCGCGAUUGGAGCGGCCGAUAUCAGAUUAGGUAGUUGGUGGGGUAAAGGCCCACCAAGCCAACGAUCUGUAGCUGGUCUGAGAGGACGACCAGCCACACUGGAACUGAGACACGGUCCAGACUCCUACGGGAGGCAGCAGUGGGGAAUUUUGGACAAUGGGCGAAAGCCUGAUCCAGCCAUUCCGCGUGCAGGAUGAAGGCCUCGGGUUGUAAACUGCUUUUGUACAGAACGAAAAGGUUUCUACUAAUACUAGGAGCUCAUGACGGUACUGUAAGAAUAAGCACCGGCUAACUACGUGCCAGCAGCCGCCGUAA
rnacentral:rRNA from 1 species